rnacentral:piRNA from 1 species
UUCCAGAGCCAUCAAGACUCCUUGAAAAUAUU